rnacentral:sRNA from 1 species
AAUUUUUCAGUAAGGUUAAGACCGUUAUUUACCACAUUAGAAGGGGCAGUUUUAAAAAUGGCCAUCAGGAAAGGGCAUUGUUGCAAAAGGUUAUUAGAAAAGGCACUUUUGCAAAUCUCCCUUUUGAUUGUUAUAUAUAAGAUUUCACCUGUACAAUAUCAUCCCCUAUUAAUAUCGACCUAAAUCAUUCUAACCAUAUAACCCCGUCCUAUGAAAUUAAACAUUAUUUU